rnacentral:rRNA from 1 species
GACGAACGCUGGCGGCGUGCUUAACACAUGCAAGUCGAACGGUGACGGAGGAGCCUGCUCCUCCUGAUCAGUGGCGAACGGGUGAGUAACACGUGAGCAAUCUGCCCCUGACUCUGGGAUAACUGCGGGAAACUGUAGCUAAUACCGGAUACGACGCGCGAAGGCAUCUUCUGCGCGUGGAAAGAAUUUCGAUCAGGGAUGAGCUCGCGGCCUAUCAGCUUGUUGGUGAGGUAAUGGCUCACCAAGGCGACGACGGGUAGCCGGCCUGAGAGGGUGACCGGCCACACUGGGACUGAGACACGGCCCAGACUCCUACGGGAGGCAGCAGUGGGGAAUAUUGCACAAUGGGCGCAAGCCUGAUGCAGCAACGCCGCGUGAGGGACGACGGCCUUCGGGUUGUAAACCUCUUUUGGCAGGGAAGAAGCGAAAGUGACGGUACCUGCAGAAAAAGCACCGGCUAACUACGUG